CCGCCGCCAGCUUCACAUGUGUGCCGCGCUUACAUGUUUAUCGUGUAUUGUGUGCGUUUAUUGCGUGCUUAUCGUACGCGACAUUCGUCGACUGGGCAUUUUCCGCGUGUUGGGGCGUUCUCCUGCCUUGAUCCAGUGGCGGAUGAUGGUCGUUGUUCGUUGCCACUCAACACAGCCUCACGGGACGCACAGCUUUGUGUCCGCGCUCAAAAGUGCUUUCUUGCUUCGUUCAUCGAUUACUCACGUUCAUCGAGUGAUCGAGUGUACUUCCGAAGACAAUCCGCGUCCGAGUGUUUUGACAAGCGGCGACCGCGGUUCCACAGGAGCGGAAGCUUGAGCCUUUUGACGAGCGACUGUGAAGAGUGCCAAUGCCAAACUUGGGAACCGUCGUGUUGGCACAGCGAGGAUGAUCAACAGAUACCCGAUAGGCAGCGAUGAGAGCUGUUCAUGGCACCGACACAGAGGACAGAUUGCAGUACAAGAUAGGAGCAUACUUCCUGCAAGCCCGGG